CGCGGAGGUAAAUUGAGUGGCUCACUGAGAGGGGCUCGGCCACGACUUCCAGCAGCUGGUUUGCCUCCGGGAAACAGUAGUCUCGUGGAGGCUCUGAAUGGUGAAUUUG